rnacentral:tRNA from 1 species
CGGGCCGUGGCGCAGUCUGGUAGCGCACCAGUAUGGGGUACUGGGGGUCGUGAGUUCGAAUCUCACCGGCCCGACCA